AUACUCCGGUUUCUCUUCAGAUCAUAUAAAUCUUUUGCCUUUUACUAAAGAUUUCCAUGGAGAGGAACAGGCACAAGGCUCCAUCUCGGGGGUUUUUUUUUAAUAUUUCAUGACUCCAGAAAGAU
rnacentral:snRNA from 1 species